GGGUUGUGAGGUUAAGCGACUAAGCGUACACGGUGGAUGCCCUGGCAGUCAGAGGCGAUGAAGGACGUGCUAAUCUGCGAUAAGCGUCGGUAAGGUGAUAUGAACCGUUAUAACCGGCGAUUUCCGAAUGGGGAAACCCAGUGUGUUUCGACACACUAUCAUUAACUGAAUCCAUAGGUUAAUGAGGCGAACCGGGGGAACUGAAACAUCUAAGUACCCCGAGGAAAAGAAAUCAACCGAGAUUCCCCCAGUAGCGGCGAGCGAACGGGGAGCAGCCCAGAGCCUGAAUCAGUGUGUGUGUUAGUGGAAGCGUCUGGAAAGGCGCGCGAUACAGGGUGACAGCCCCGUACACAAAAAUGCACAUGCUGUGAGCUCGAUGAGUAGGGCGGGACACGUGGUAUCCUGUCUGAAUAUGGGGGGACCAUCCUCCAAGGCUAAAUACUCCUGACUGACCGAUAGUGAACCAGUACCGUGAGGGAAAGGCGAAAAGAACCCCGGCGAGGGGAGUGAAAAAGAACCUGAAACCGUGUACGUACAAGCAGUGGGAGCACGCUUAGGCGUGUGACUGCGUACCUUUUGUAUAAUGGGUCAGCGACUUAUAUUCUGUAGCAAGGUUAACCGAAUAGGGGAGCCGAAGGGAAACCGAGUCUUAACUGGGCGUUAAGUUGCAGGGUAUAGACCCGAAACCCGGUGAUCUAGCCAUGGGCAGGUUGAAGGGUGGGUAACACUAACUGGAGGACCGAACCGACUAAUGUUGAAAAAUUAGCGGAUGACUUGUGGCUGGGGGUGAAAGGCCAAUCAAACCGGGAGAUAGCUGGUUCUCCCCGAAAGCUAUUUAGGUAGCGCCUCGUGAAUUCAUCUCCGGGGGUAGAGCACUGUUUCGGCAAGGGGGUCAUCCCGACUUACCAACCCGAUGCAAACUGCGAAUACCGGAGAAUGUUAUCACGGGAGACACACGGCGGGUGCUAACGUCCGUCGUGAAGAGGGAAACAACCCAGACCGCCAGCUAAGGUCCCAAAGUCAUGGUUAAGUGGGAAACGAUGUGGGAAGGCCCAGACAGCCAGGAUGUUGGCUUAGAAGCAGCCAUCAUUUAAAGAAAGCGUAAUAGCUCACUGGUCGAGUCGGCCUGCGCGGAAGAUGUAACGGGGCUAAACCAUGCACCGAAGCUGCGGCAGCGACGCUGAUGCGUUGUUGGGUAGGGGAGCGUUCUGUAAGCCUGCGAAGGUGUGCUGUGAGGCAUGCUGGAGGUAUCAGAAGUGCGAAUGCUGACAUAAGUAACGAUAAAGCGGGUGAAAAGCCCGCUCGCCGGAAGACCAAGGGUUCCUGUCCAACGUUAAUCGGGGCAGGGUGAGUCGACCCCUAAGGCGAGGCCGAAAGGCGUAGUCGAUGGGAAACAGGUUAAUAUUCCUGUACUUGGUGUUACUGCGAAGGGGGGACGGAGAAGGCUAUGUUGGCCGGGCGACGGUUGUCCCGGUUUAAGCGUGUAGGCUGGUUUUCCAGGCAAAUCCGGAAAAUCAAGGCUGAGGCGUGAUGACGAGGCACUACGGUGCUGAAGCAACAAAUGCCCUGCUUCCAGGAAAAGCCUCUAAGCAUCAGGUAACAUCAAAUCGUACCCCAAACCGACACAGGUGGUCAGGUAGAGAAUACCAAGGCGCUUGAGAGAACUCGGGUGAAGGAACUAGGCAAAAUGGUGCCGUAACUUCGGGAGAAGGCACGCUGAUAUGUAGGUGAGGUCCCUCGCGGAUGGAGCUGAAAUCAGUCGAAGAUACCAGCUGGCUGCAACUGUUUAUUAAAAACACAGCACUGUGCAAACACGAAAGUGGACGUAUACGGUGUGACGCCUGCCCGGUGCCGGAAGGUUAAUUGAUGGGGUUAGCGCAAGCGAAGCUCUUGAUCGAAGCCCCGGUAAACGGCGGCCGUAACUAUAACGGUCCUAAGGUAGCGAAAUUCCUUGUCGGGUAAGUUCCGACCUGCACGAAUGGCGUAAUGAUGGCCAGGCUGUCUCCACCCGAGACUCAGUGAAAUUGAACUCGCUGUGAAGAUGCAGUGUACCCGCGGCAAGACGGAAAGACCCCGUGAACCUUUACUAUAGCUUGACACUGAACAUUGAGCCUUGAUGUGUAGGAUAGGUGGGAGGCUUAGAAGUGUGGACGCCAGUCUGCAUGGAGCCGACCUUGAAAUACCACCCUUUAAUGUUUGAUGUUCUAACGUUGACCCGUAAUCCGGGUUGCGGACAGUGUCUGGUGGGUAGUUUGACUGGGGCGGUCUCCUCCUAAAGAGUAACGGAGGAGCACGAAGGUUGGCUAAUCCUGGUCGGACAUCAGGAGGUUAGUGCAAUGGCAUAAGCCAGCUUGACUGCGAGCGUGACGGCGCGAGCAGGUGCGAAAAGCAGGUCAUAGUGAUCCGGUGGUUCUGAAUGGAAGGGCCAUCGCUCAACGGAUAAAAGGUACUCCGGGGAUAACAGGCUGAUACCGCCCAAGAGUUCAUAUCGACGGCGGUGUUUGGCACCUCGAUGUCGGCUCAUCACAUCCUGGGGCUGAAGUAGGUCCCAAGGGUAUGGCUGUUCGCCAUUUAAAGUGGUACGCGAGCUGGGUUUAGAACGUCGUGAGACAGUUCGGUCCCUAUCUGCCGUGGGCGCUGGAGAACUGAGGGGGGCUGCUCCUAGUACGAGAGGACCGGAGUGGACGCAUCACUGGUGUUCGGGUUGUCAUGCCAAUGGCACUGCCCGGUAGCUAAAUGCGGAAGAGAUAAGUGCUGAAAGCAUCUAAGCACGAAACUUGCCCCGAGAUGAGUUCUCCCUGACCCUUUAAGGGUCCUGAAGGAACGUUGAAGACGACGACGUUGAUAGGCCGGGUGUGUAAGCGCAGCGAUGCGUUGAGCUAACCGGUACUAAUGAACCGUGAGGCUUAACCUUACAACGCCGAAGCUGUU
rnacentral:rRNA from 1 species